CUCACUCCAUCUUGCCCUGCUACUUAAGAGAGGUUGUGGGGUGGGAUUUGGCAAGCCAACAAAACCUUUUCCAUCUUUAACAGCUAUGGGUUUUAUUUAUGACCCAAGUGAAAUGGCAUGAUAAUAAUGAUAAUAAUACCUCGGAUGAAUAAACACCUCAGUCCUAAGGAGUUCAGAGAGCUCUGCUGAUACUUAUCUAAUUAAUCCUCACCACAUGCUUGAAUUUUAUCACUUUAAAACUAGAUGGAGAGGCUUGCCAGUGGUCUAUAGGUAAAGGAUCUGCCUGCCAGUGCAGAGAACAUGGUCUAGGAAGAUUCCACUUGCCUCAGACAACUGAGCCCAUGGCUCACAACUACUGAAGCCCAUGUGCCUGGAGCCUGAGUUCCGCCAGAAGUCACCACAAUGAGAAGCUCUCGCACUGCAAGAUCCUGCUUGCUAUUUUGCACAGUGAAUAUGAUCUUAGAGAACAAAGAUGAUGACAUUUAUCCCCAGAUAAAUGAUAUGCAUUUGCCUCCAUGACCAUUAGAACAUCACUGAAACGCCUCACACCUCCUCCUGUCUGCAGGUCUCGCAGUGGUAAAGAAUCUGCCUGUCACUCCAGGAGACGCAUGAGACCAGGGUUUGAUCCCUGGGUCAGGAAGAUCCCCUGGAGGAAAGCAUGGCAACCCACUCCAAUAUUCUUGGCUGGAGAAUCCUAUAGACAGCGGAGUCUGGUGGUCUAUGGUCUGUAGGGUCUAAAAGAGUCCAACAUGACUGAAGCAACUUAACAAUGCAUGCACACAACUGAAUGAGCUCACCUAAAAGAAGGUCUGGAGAAAGAAGAGAGCAAAAACUAAACUCUGCCAUUGCACAUUUAGAGACUGGUCCCAGGAUGAAUAGUCAAUGAGGAGAUUGAGGAAAGGCUGGCAGAGCUGCAGGAAAAAAAAAAAAAAAAAAAACCCAGAGAGUGUGGCUCUGUGUAUUCAAUAAAAGAAACAUAUUUUAAGUAGGACAAGGACAGAAAAUAGAUCACUGACAACCAGAUGGAAACUGACUGUUACAUUCAUUUUUAGUGGAGUUUCAGUAGAGACUAGUUGGAAUGGGUUAAACAGAGAAUUGGAAAUGGAAAAAAUGAAGAAAGCAAGUAGAGAACUCUUUGAGCCUUGCUUUCAAAGAGAUACGGCAACAGCUGAAGGACAAUGGGUCAAGGGAGGAUAAUCACAAAUUUGUAUGCUAUCAGAAUUAUUCAGGAGAGGAAUAACUGGUUAAGGAGAGAGAGGGAGAAUAACCACUAGAGCAGAGCCCUUAAGUAGGCAGAAGCUGAUGAAAUGCUGUGCCUGGCCAGAGAGAUUGCCCACAUACAAUGACAGAGAGAAGCCGUUGAACCCAACAUGAGGAAUGUCAAGGUGUGGGUUCACAUCCAGGUAUGUUUUGGAAAUUUGUUGGAGAAGAGAUUGGUUAGUUUUCUUUCUGAAUAAAAGAAGAGGAGAUGGAAUUUGAGGUUUGAAGAGAGAGUGAGGGUGAGGUCAUUGCCACAGCGAAUGAGAAAGUAAAAUUUUAUUUUAUGAUAUAAUAAAAAUGAGGUUCUCUUGGAACUUAAUUCCCAUUUGCAACAUUUUUGUAUGGCUAAUUAUUUCAAAUAAUGACAUUUGCAAUAAAGCCCAGAUUUCCAGGAAAUACAACCUUGGUGUUAUUCAAAUAAGUGGAGUAUUCCCUUCUCACAAAACUAAUAAUACUACACUAAUGAAAUUUUGCUAACAAAGUCUACCAUGUUGCUCAUUAUCUCCUAUUAAGAGAGAUAUUAUUGUAUCUAAUACCCUCUUUUUUAUUAAGUAACUAAAAUCCUAUUAAAUCAUAUAGUUUCCAUUUUGAAUUUUAAAAGUUCUAAUUUUUCAAGCAAAAAACAAUUUCUUCAUAUAAAGUAAGUUGGCAAUGAAAGAUUUAAAUAUGGUGAAAAACAUUUCACUGUGUUCUAAUACAGCAAGAAGAGGGAAAGAGAGCAAGCUUUUUUUAUCUCUUUUUAUCACUGUAUUUUCUGGAAAACAUAUUCAGUGUAAAUGUCAGGGAGCAAAAUACCCAGGACAGAAUUCCCUGUAAGUGUUAAUAAAAGAUUCAAAUAUACACAUGAAAAGUUCAACUUAUGUUUUAAAAGUUACUACUCUUUUGUUAUUAUAAUAAUAGAAUUUUAUAAACACAUAAACCAGAAUAAAUUCAACACAGAACUACUUCAUAGAUGUAUUUGUUCUGUAAAAAAAUACUAUUUUAUAAUCUCAUUUACUUAGAAACCAUCAUUUCUAGCUCUAGUUUGACUCAUCUCAUAUACAUGUUAGUGUUCUGUCCUCUUCCUACAAUCACCAUGGAAUUAUUUCAACCACAGAAUAUUGUUCAACUCUCUAGAUUAUAUGCACAUUCCGAAUGUGCAAAAUCUAGAGUAAUCCACACAUUUAAUUAGGACUCCUAAGUGUAAACAGUUGCAGUUGCUCAGGUUUCCUGGAGAGUAGGCUCCAAGACAGGAUUUGCUGGGAGUGCUCUAGAUAUUAACACUUGGAGGGGAAGGAAAGGAAGAGGCUGGGUUACAGUACAUUCUCAACCAAGGCCUCAUGGAAGCUCUAAAGCUAAGAUGGCCCUUAGAAAUCAUCCCCAGUGGGGAGAGGGAGUGAGGCCUUUGCUCUUUCUAGAACUUGAUGUGGAUAUAAGUUGCCCCUGUGAAGGGGGGUCAUUUAUUUGAUCAAGGCAGCUCUCUUUAGCUGAGGACCAUUCCCAGCAGAGAUCUAUCAGAAAGCAGCACUCCCAGAAGCUGAAGAAAAAGUCCUUCAGUCCUGAAGGAGGAUCAGGGUACAAUAUAUGGCCCCCCACAAGAUCAAAGAUAAUCUUUGCACCAAUUAAGACGAGACACUAUAGUUUUAAGUGACCAUUUCAAGAAUUAUAACCUUCAAGCAAGAACCUCGCACAUUGACUUGUAUCCACCAAUGGAAUGAGACAAAAAGAAAAGAGGAGUAACAGGGAGCUUCAAUGGUAAACCUUCAGUAAAAGUAAAACCACUGAUGAGAUCUCAGAGGGUGGCCAACUUUACUAGUCAAGAAGCAUUGACAUGGAUGAACUUAGCUUUUAGCAGAAAAUACCAGUUCACCAGCAGUGACACUGAAGAAUAAUGAAUGUUGGUAGUAAUUUUUUUAGUUGGAAGACAUUGUAUCUAUCAUGAAAGGAUAUUGUCCAUGAGAAAGAAAACUUCAAGAGCAGCAGA